rnacentral:rRNA from 1 species
UACGGAGGGUGCAAGCGUUAUCCGGAUUUACUGGGUUUAAAGGGAGCGUAGGUGGGUCUGUAAGUCAGUGGUGAAAUCUUCGAGCUUAACUCGGAAACUGCCAUUGAUACUAUAGAUCUUGAAUUAUCUGGAGGUAAGCGGAAUAUGUCAUGUAGCGGUGAAAUGCUUAGAUAUGACAUAGAACACCCAUUGCGAAGGCAGCUUACUACGGAUCGAUUGACACUGAGGCACGAAAGCGUGGGGAUCAAACAGG